rnacentral:rRNA from 1 species
ACGUUAGCGGCGGACGGGUGAGUAACACGUGGGUAACCUACCUAUAAGACUGGGAUAACUUCGGGAAACCGGAGCUAAUACCGGAUAAUAUUUCGAACCGCAUGGUUCGAUAGUGAAAGAUGGUUUUGCUAUCACUUAUAGAUGGACCCGCGCCGUAUUAGCUAGUUGGUAAGGUAACGGCUUACCAAGGCUACGAUACGUAGCCGACCUGAGAGGGUGAUCGGCCACACUGGAACUGAGACACGGUCCAGACUCCUACGGGAGGCAGCAGCC